rnacentral:rRNA from 1 species
GAUGAACGCUGGCGGCGUGCCUAAUACAUGCAAGUCGAGCGAACAGACGAGGAGCUUGCUCCUCUGACGUUAGCGGCGGACGGGUGAGUAACACGUGGAUAACCUACCUAUAAGACUGGGAUAACUUCGGGAAACCGGAACUAAUACCGGAUAAUAUAUUGAACCGCAUGGUUCAAUAGUGAAAGACGGUUUUGCUGUCACUUAUAGAUGGAUCCGCGCCGCAUUAGCUAGUUGGUAAGGUAACGGCUUACCAAGGCAACGAUGCGUAGCCGACCUGAGAGGGUGAUCGGCCACACUGGAACUGCGACACGGUCCAGACUCCUACGGGAGGCAGCAGUAGGGAAUCUUCCGCAAUGGGCGAAAGCCUGACGGAGCAACGCCGCGUGAGUGAUGAAGGUCUUCGGAUCGUAAAACUCUGUUAUUAGGGAAGAACAAAUGUGUAAGUAACUAUGCACGUCUUGACGGUACCUAAUCAGAAAGCCACGGCUAACUACGUG